CAUGAAGUCGGAAUUGCUAGUAAUCGCGGAUCAGCAUGCCGCGGUGAAUACGUUCCCGGGCCUUGUACACACCGCCCGUCACACCAUGGGAGCCGGUAAUACCCGAAGUCAGGUAGUCCAACCUCGUGAGGACGCUGCCGAAGGUAGGAUUGGCGACUGGGGUGAAGUCGUAACAAGGUAGC
rnacentral:rRNA from 1 species